GCAGCCGCGGUAAUACGUAGGGGGCGAGCGUUGUCCGGAAUUACUGGGCGUAAAGGGUGCGUAGGCGGCGAACUAAGUUGGAUGUGAAACCCCCGGGCUUAACUUGGGGACUGCAUUCAAAACUGGUUUGCUAGAGUGCAGGAGAGGAAAGCGGAAUUCCUAGUGUAGCGGUGAAAUGCGUAGAUAUUAGGAGGAACACCAGUGGCGAAGGCGGCUUUCUGGACUGUAACUGACGCUGAGGCACGAAAGCGUGGGGAGCAAACAGGAUUAGAUACCCC
rnacentral:rRNA from 1 species